UACAGAGGGUGCGAGCGUUAUCCGGAUUCACUGGGUUUAAAGGGUGCGUAGGUGGGAAUGUAAGUCAGUGGUGAAAUCUCUGAGCUUAACUCAGAAACUGCCAUUGAUACUAUGUUUCUUGAAUUUUCUGGAGGUCAGCGGAAUAUGUCAUGUAGCGGUGAAAUGCUUAGAUAUGACAUAGAACACCAAUUGCGAAGGCAGCUGGCUACAGGGAUAUUGACACUGAGGCACGAAAGCGUGGGGAUCAAACAGG
rnacentral:rRNA from 1 species